rnacentral:lncRNA from 1 species
GACUAUGUGAAGCUUCUUUUCUUCAUCGACAGCUAUGUUGGUUUUGCGAAUUUGGCGGGUGGGGUUUGAGGUUGCGAUGGUGUCUCUCUAUUGCGGCUCUGUGGAGGUCUGCUGUUCCACUUCCUUUUCAGGCGGUUUCUUGCCCAGGCGGAGGCUCCUGUUCCCUAAGGUCUUCUCGGAGGUCUUCUGUGCCGGUGUUGACGAGGGCAUCCCUAGGCGGUGGUUUUCUGUGCCGUAAGGCCUUGUCGGUGGUUUUCUCAGGCGACGGUGGUCAUGGAGUUUCUAGCGGCUAUGUUUUGGAUGCUUUAGUGCGUCUGUUUAUCUAGGAUUUCUGGCUCCGGUUUGUUCCAGGUCUAUCUGGUUUAACCGAGUUGUUCAUUUAAGGUUUCUUCUGAUUCAUUUGGUUAAGGGUUUCUUUGCGUAGCCCAUAAAGGAUUUUGACUAGGCCCAUGUCAACACCAAAAAAACACAAAAUUUUCAAUCUAUGCACCAACAGUUUCAAAAAAAACUUUGAUGUUAUUUGUUAAAUACUGGAGUUGUUAAAUACUGGCGGUCAUGUAUCAUCAUAGGCUUUAACUCUACGGUUUUAAUUUCGGAAAAAGGUCAUACUUUUUGUUAGUGGUUUCAGAUCUGGGCUUAAGAGGGGAAUCGAUGGUCUGGUUUCGGUUCUGGUGUGCUUUGGCUCGGUGCUAGAUUCGCUAGGUGGUGGGAUCGUCGGCUUCUGUGCGGUAGUGGUGUGAUGUUCAAGCCGGUUCUAGAGCCAUUGAAGGUUAGUGGUCAAGCUCGAGCCUAUGUCUUCCCCGUUUGUGACCACUCCGAGGAUGACUGGUAACUUGUGUCUCUUAAGUCUCUGUCCGUUGAAAGAGGCUUUGUAGAGAAGACAGUUGUGGUGGUAGCUGGAGCUUAGUCGAAUUGAUUUUAUGUGCUUCUUUUUGUGUUCUCUGCUAGUCUGGGUCUCUUUGUUGAGGAGUGUCUCCAAAUCUUUUUCUUAGUUUCAGGUGAGGUUUUGGUUUGGAGAGUUGGGUUAAGAGAUGAGUCUGGCGCCAUAUGUCAGGUCGAGGACCUGUUGACGGUGCGGCAUAGCUGAAGGGGCAUUGCAGGUGCUUUCGCUGACGUCGUUUCUAGCCUUCUUCAACUCUAGCUCUUUUGUUGCUCACCGUUGCUUUGGAGAUUUCAAUUCUCGGUUGGGUAAACAACUGGGUGUAUGCGUGGGCAUGUUCAAGUGCUUCUAUUCCGACUUUGGAUUCUCUUCUCCAUUGUUGAAUUCUCAGGUAGUGCUUUUAAGGUUAUGGCUUUCUCUACAUGGUUCUGGCUUUGCUUGAAGAGGUUUGUGGCUAUGGUUUUUUUCUUCAACGGUGAAGCGUCCCGAGGUCCCUUGUGAUGCUUUUGACUUCUCC